GUGUGUUACAAAAUGUCACUGCAUGUGGCAUUAGCUGGUAUCUUUCUAGGCAUGUGAAGGGAAGACGUGGCUAGGAAUAGAGACUGUACUAUCAUCUCUGUCCUUGAUGUGGUACCCCACAAAUUUAUGCUGACACAAUGCAGGGAUUGUAGAGCAUAUUGUGAAGCAGUACACCAUCUCUUUUCUGCCUCUGCUCUUCUAUAAAUAACAGAUUUCAGUCUCCAUGGGUGCCAGGCUAGCAUUUUGCAACAUACCCCUCCAGCCCUUCAAAAUUCCUCCUAGCCCUCUGGGAAUUUCCUGUUCUGCCAAGAAAUUUUGUCUGGACAGAACUGAGGUCUGUCCCUUACCGUUAAGAAAUCCCUUUACAAAAAGGCAGAGAUGUGUUGAAGUACUUGGCUCCAGAGAGCCUGCGCCAAGAAGUGGACCCAGAACUUCUGCUGCCCCUGGAAGCUCUGUAGAGAGGAAGGGGCAAGGAAUCAGCUUCAGCUGGGUGGACCUGAGGUUGGGAAAUACCCUUUCCUGGACAGGAAUCAAGCUCACACUUUACCACUGAUUCACUCUGAGCAGCAUUAGGCCAAGCUACUCAGGAACUCAUUAACAUCACACUCCAGAGGAAAGGACAUGAAUCCAGGCCAGUUCUCUACAUUUAUGUCUUUCAAGAACACAAGUAUCUGGCUAAAUUAUAUGUAACAAGUAUAUAACUUUUAUAAGGUGGCUGGUACAGUCCUAUUUCCAUAGAGCUUUUCAGAAUUCUCAUCCUCUCUGUAUUAUUCCUGAAUGGACUCCAUGAAUAUUCUCAACGUACAUCCAACUGAGCUUGACUCAUUGGCCAGAGCUUGACUUUAGGAGGAGCAGGAGCAGACAUCAUUAAUGGUAUUGCAGCAGUCCAGUCUUCUGUCAUUUAGGAUCCCUUUUCUGGAACUUGUUCUGGAUGGGAAAACUCCUGAACGUUUGAAUGGGAACAUGAGUAACACAACGCAGAAGUGAGAUGGAAAGCUCCAAAACAAGGCAGUCACCGUGUUAAUAAAAUGUGAAGGAAAUAGAA